rnacentral:misc_RNA from 1 species
AGUUCUUACUCUUCAGUAAUUCAUUUCAGUUGCCCUACAACAAUUAUAAUUUUUCUCAACUAUGCAAUGAUGAUGAUUCAGAGAAUAGUGUAUUCUUAAUUGCCAUAAUCCUAGCACAGAAAGAAUCAGUUCUAAGAUCUGUCUCACAUUUGAGAGAACCUUCUUUACCUAAUCAGUUCUUUUGUUCAUUGUUGAUUGGUUGUAAUGAACUAUAAACUUGCUUCCCACAUGACAUGGCCUCUUGGAAGAGUAUUUGACAGAAGGUGAAAAGGGCCUUGUACCUUCUCUGUCAGAUAGCCAAAAAUGAAAAUUUCCUGGAAUGCUAGACUCUCCUUUCCCAAUUUUUGUCAGAUCAGGAUCUUGCUAAUUAGAACAACAUGAUCUCUUGUUAACAUUACCAGACGGAUUUGCAACAUUAAUUAUAGUUCCUUUGGGAAGUCCAGUUGAAUUAGCUGCUUCCUGUGCCAGAGCUUUCUUGCUAAUAAUCUGGUAGACAUCAAGCAAAAUAGUCUGGAAUGCCUUCUCCACAUUUAAGGCUUCCAAUGCUGAAGUCUCAAGGAAUGCAAGGCUUUCCUUCUCAGCCAACAAUUGAGCAUCUUCUGUUGGGACUGCUCUUAAGUGGUUCAGAUCAGACUUGUUCCCAGCCAUUAUGAUCACAAUGUUGGAGUCUGCAUGGUCCCUUAAUUCCCGGAGCCACCUUUGAACGUUAUCAAAUGUUUGCCUCUUUGUUAUGUCAUAAACCAAAAGUGCACCAACUGCACCUCUGUAGUAUGCGCUGGUGACGGCUCUGUACCUUUCUUGACCAGCUGUGUCCCAUAUCUGUGCUUUAACUGUCUUCCCUUCUACCUGAAGAGUCCUGGUUGCAAACUCAACACCAAUGGUAGACUUGGAUUCCAAGCAAAAUUCAUUACGAGUAAACCUGGAAAGAAUGUUGGAUUUGCCAACACCUGAAUCUCCAAUCAAUACAAUCUUGAAAAGAUAAUCGUACUCAUGAUCCACCUUGUAUGCCAUUACUAAAUCUUCUUCUUCUUCUUUCUCUUU